GCUGGGUAUGGUGGUGCAUGCCUGUACCCAGCAGCUUGGGAGGCUGAGGCAGGAGGAUUGUGAGUUCCAAGCUAGUCUCAGCAACUUAACGAGACCCUGUCUCAA
rnacentral:sRNA from 1 species